CCUACGGGUGGCUGCAGUGAGGAAUAUUGGUCAAUGGACGAGAGUCUGAACCAGCCAAGUAGCGUGAAGGAUGACUGCCCUAUGGGUUGUAAAUUUCUUUUAUAUGGUAAUAAAACAUUGUAUUCAUACCCUCUUGUAUGUACCUUAUGAAUAAGGAUCGGAUAACUCCGUGCCAGCAGCCGCGGUAAUACGGUAGAUCCGAGCGUUACCCGGAUUUAUUGGGUUUAAAGGGAUCGUAGGUGGAUUGUUAAGUCAGUUGUGAAAGUUUGCGGCUGAACCGUAAAAUUGCAGUUGAUACUGGCAGUCUAGAGUACAGUAGAGGUGGGCAGAAGUCGAGGUGUAGCGGUGAAAUGCUUAGAGAUCACGAAGAACUCCGAUUGCGAAGGCAGCUCACUGGACUGCAACUGACACUGAUGCUCGAAAGUGUGGGUAUCAAACAGGAUUAGAUACCCGUGUAGUC
rnacentral:rRNA from 1 species